UAAAUUACCCAAUCCUGACACAGGGAGGUCGUGACAAUAAAUAACAAUGCCGGGCCUUUACAGGUCUGGCAAUUGGAAUGAGAACAAUUUAAAUCCCUUAUCGAGUAUCAAUUGGAGGGCAAGUCUGGUGCCAGCAGCCGCGGUAAUUCCAGCUCCAAUAGCGUAUAUUAAAGUUGUUGCAGUUAAAAAGCUCGUAGUUGGAUUUGUGGUGUGUCCAGUCGGCCUUUGCUCUCUGAGUGGUUGCGCUGCACUGGUCUGCCAUGUUUGGGUGGAAUCUGUGUGGCAUUAAGUUGUCGUGCAGGGGAUGCCCAUCGUUUACUGUGAAAAAAUUAGAGUGUUCAAAGCAGGCUUAUGCCGUUGAAUAUAUUAGCAUGGAAUAAUGAUAUAGGACCUUGGUACUAUUUUGUUGGUUUGCGCACUAAGGUAAUGAUUAAGAGGGACAGUUGGGGGUAUUUGUAUUCCAUUGUCAGAGGUGAAAUUCUUGGAUUUUUGGAAGACAAACUACUGCGAAAGCAUUUACCAAGGAUGUUUUCAUUAAUCAAGAACAAAAGUUAGGGGAUCGAAGAUGAUUAGAUACCAUCGUAGUCUUAACCAUAAACUAUGCCGACAAGGGAUUGGUGGAGUUUCGUUUCGUCUCCAUCAGCACCUUGUGAGAAAUCAUAAGUCUUUGGGUUCCGGGGGGAGUAUGGUCGCAAGGCUGAAAUCCAUAU
rnacentral:rRNA from 1 species